AUUAACACAUAAGGAUAGGGCAAAGGCAGAAAAACUAUUUCUCCUCAGCUGGAUGGUGGUUAUUUUGUGUGUGUCUGUUUGGGGGCUUUAUUUUGAUCCACCUCAAGCAGAAGAUAUGCUGGCCAGAAGAGACUCUGAAGACAUCGAGGGCAUAGGCGGGGAGGGUAGAAAAUAAGAAAUUUAAAGUAAUAAAAGUUGUGGGUUUUCUAUACUAGAUAAUGAGAAAUGAUGAACUAAAUAUACAGUAUUUCUACAUUCUUUGGCAUGCACAUGAAAUAAAGUCAUACUUUUUUUCAACAAAUACAACAGCUGCAAAAGCUGGAGUGCAAUGGUGCUAUCUCAGCUCACUGCAACCUCUGCCUCCCGGGUUCAAGCGAUUCUCCUGCCUCAGCCUCCCAAAUAGCUGGGAUCACAGAUAACCCCUGUGAUGUCCUGAGGCAAUCUUCUGUGGGUCCAUUUUCUCCAUCCAUGAGUACGUCUCCACGGUCCUGAGAUUGGGAGCAGAGAUACAAAGUUCUCUGGGAUGUUUUUUUCUCUGUUGGUUUGUCUGUCUCUAACUUUCUUUUAGAACAAUUCUCAAAUCACAUUUCCUCCAAAUAUCUUUCUCUCAUUGCUCUGGGCUACGUAGAAAAAAAAAUGCCCAAUUCUAUUUUGAAGUUCUGAAGAGGAUUGAUUUGUAUCACUUUUUUAGCAUUCAGAACUGACUUAAAAUUCUUAGUCUUCCCUCCAUUUCAAGAUGCUUUCUACCUAGCUGUAUUGCAAACUGCUUAAGGUAAAAAGUGGUCUUUUGUACACUCACGUCACUCUCUACUGAGCAUAGUGCUCACCUAAGACAACUUUGAUUAGUUUUUGCUGAUAAAAGAAAAUCAGAAAACCUAUCUUCCAAAAUAUAGAAAGUUUGCAAAAUCGUAGAGUUGUUUGGGGACUUUUUCUUAUAUUUGUGAAGUCUGGAAGCAAAAUUACAGGUACUCUAAUCCCACAGUUUUUUUUUACUUGCAUUUGAAACUUUGCUAGAUAAACUGUUACUUGCUAAAAUAAAACCAGACAGAUCGAUAAACAAAGAGGACAAGAACAGACAUCUAUGCUGAUAAGCGGCAUGCUUUCUUUUGCUAACUAGCUUGUUCUUUUGUGAUGAUAUUUUGCUUAGUUACCUUUAUCUGUUUUGAACGAUACCAAGCAUUCCGUUGACUUAUUUUACUCAUAAGCAAUGAUAAUUCGCAUGAGGAUAAAAAAGGGACAAGACGGCAGAGUCCAUUUGAAAGGAGUUUCCCGCCAACCAUGUUGGAGACUCCUGAUUCCUCCUCACUUGACUGGAAAUUCAGGUGAUAGUUAUCUGGUGAUAAUCAUUAGGAUUAAUGUAUACAAUUUAUUUUGAUUUUAUAAUCUGUAAUGGUCAUAUAAGCACUAAUAUGAUUUCCUGAAUUCACUAUUCUACUGGAAAGAAAAUGUUUUGAUCAGCUAACAAAUAUAUACAUCCUUCAUUU
ensembl:lncRNA novel transcript